rfam:Acidovorax temperans strain KY4 Contig_87, whole genome shotgun sequence.
GCCUUGUGCCUGAAAGGGUGACGGUUAUGCCGUAGCGAGAAGUCAGCAAAGGUCGUAGUAGUGCAAGUCCGAAACCCGAAGGGGAGGUGUGGCGAGCACGAAGGGC